rnacentral:Y_RNA from 1 species
GGCUGGUCUGAAGGUAGUGAGUUACCUCAGUUGAUGGUUCAGCCAAGUUACAGAUCAACCUCCUUGUCCUCCUCUUUCUCCCCUUCCCACUACUAUACUUGACUAAUCUUAA